rnacentral:rRNA from 2 species
AAGGGCACCACAAGAACGCGUGGAGCAUGUGGCUUAAUUUGACUCAACGCGGGAAAUCUUACCGGGUCCGGACACACUGAGGAUUGACAGGCAAUAUUAAUAUUUUUCUGUUUACAGUAAUUUAUUAUGUUAAAUAUGCUAGUCCUUUCAUGAUUAUGUGAUAGGUGGUGCAUGGCCGUUCUUAGUUCGUGGAGUGAUCUGUCUGCUUAAUUGCGUUUCACUAAGGGCCUAUAAUUUACUUGUGUUGCGGCACUUUGACCCCUCAUUUUUUUUAAUUAAAUUAUGAGCGCGCGUCUUAGUUUGUUUAGCUCACACAAUUAGGUCCUGAAAGCAACGAACGUGACCGCAACCUCUUGUUGCCUUUAUACCAAACAUGAGUUUAACUCUCUUCGGAGGGUUUUCAUGAAAAAAGGCUUUUUAAACUAGAGGGACCGCUGUUACUUUCUUAAACCAGAGGAAGGUUGCGGCAAUAACAGGUCUGUGAUGCCCUUAGAUGUUCCGGGCUGCACACGUGCUACAAUGAUUAUUGCAGUGAGCAUCUCAUUUUUUACACACCGCAUACGCGAGUCUAUUUAUUCACUUUCGGGUGCUUUAAAUGUGAUCUCUGCGAGCGGUAAAGCCUGCUUCGAAAGUAAGUGGGUAAUCAAUUAGAAGUAAUGAUUUCCUUUUUUUUAGCACACAUAUAUACGGCGUUUAUACCCGGGCUGCACUUGUUGUAGCUUUUGUGCGUAUAGAUGUUUUUUCCGUAUGUGCGAUUGUCAAUUCAUGGUGGGGACAGACCAUUGUUAAUUGUUGGUCUCGGUCUUAACUAGGAAUGCCUUGUACGGGUCUUUGGUUCAACAAACCACCCGGAAUACGUCCCUGCCCUUUGUACACACCGCCCGUCGCUCUUACCGAUGGACUUCUCUGUGAGUUUGAGGGACUGGGAACGCAGAUUUUUAUCUGCACACCUAUGGAAACUUAAACGAACAGUGUGGUCUAAAGGAAAGAGAAGUCGUAACAAGGCAUCGGUAGGUGAACCUGCAGAAGGAUCA